AUCCUACAACGUUCUCCGACCGCGCUCUGAAAAAUAAUAUUACUAAACGCAAUAGCGAUAAUACGUUUUAUGUGUCGUAAAAGGUUGCGGGGCGGAGCGACGCGAAACGGGUCAUUAUAAAAUAGGCUAUUAAUUUCGCGAUAAUUCCAUCUCGGUGACGUUAGUCGUUGCGAAUGCUCUGCUCCAACGGGUGGGGUGGUCAGUUUUGUUAAAACUAAAUUUAGUUUCCGACCUAGUCGUACCUCCCUGACAAUCAAACCGUCAAAGUGGCUUUUAGUGCUGCCACGUAAUCCACGGUCUAUUGAUUAUGCCCCAACAAAUGGCACGACCUCAUACUAUAUGAAAGAUUUUAAAAAUGAUUAUUGCAUUCUCUUUUUAUCUACUUUUUUCUUCUGUGCAAUCAGAUACACCCACAUGUGAUCCACCCAUGAUUUUGCUUACAUGUGAAUCAUCAACGUGUCCUCCGGAAUAUCGACAAAAUUGCGAUAAACUACUACAACCUAUUAAACCAUGCAAAAGAGAUUGUGUUGCAGCUUGCGGAUGUCCAUCUGGAACGUGUUUCAACAGCGAAAUAAAAACUUGCGUUAUAAAGGCACCGGAUGAUGAUUCGUCGAUUUUUAGCUUUACUGAUAUUAUCCUAACAAAAAAAUAAAAUCAAAUAUUAUAAAUAAAAA